AGGUAUGAUUUUAAGCUUAUUGAGUUUCUUUAUUUAUAUGCCAUGUCUCCGCUCUCAUGGUCUUAUUGUUUCGAUGUGGGAAUUUGCUUUAUAGCUAUAGCCCAUUUGGUUCUGCCUGGGCCUGAGCAGCAAACUCUAGAAGGAUGUCAUGUAAACGCUUUCAAACCUAAAACCUAUACAACUCUUUGCCUGUUCCUCCGUUUCCGAUGACGGGUGCAUACCGCGCUACCUUCUCUUUCUACGCGCCACCCAAAGUCACCUCCGCAACCAUUCACAGAUUCCGACUAAGCCCACUCCUCUCAUCUUCUGUUUCUAUUCCAUUUCCAUCUAAACGCACAAACAGGAAAAACCACUUGCGCCCCAAAAUCCUCAAAACGUUAACUAAACCCUUCACCCCCGCUCCUCUUCCUCAGAUAGUUCCAGUAGAACACACAGUCCCCAUUCCCAUUCCGUUCCCACCUGAUUACGACCCCGUUUUGGAAGCUCGAUCCGAUGAAAUAUCCAGCAGAAGUCCUCUCCCUGGAGAAAAGGAUAGGUUUGAAGAAUUUGGUUUAUCGGAGACAAUAGGCACUGCUGGAGAAUAUAGUGGCAUUAAUGGUAAAAUUUAUGCCAAGUCCCUCUUGAAAUUCUGUGGUUAUUUGGUUGGGGUUACAAUCUUUGCAGUUUGGGUGCUGGGGAACUCCAGUUCAUCUAAGAAAGAUGAGAGAGUGGAUAAUUUGGAUGGUAAAGGGAGUAUAUUGCUGAAUGGAAGCAGCAAUGUGGCUUACUUUGAUGACAUUGAUCAGGAAGAGAGAAUCAGUGAAAUUAGGGCUAUGGCAAGGGAGGCGAGGGAGAAGGAGAAAAGGGAGAGGAAAGAGGGUAAUGAAGAAACUGACAUUGAAAAGGAGAUUGGAGCAAGAUUGGUUAAAUUGGAGAAGAGAUUAAAUUCCAAGAGAGAAAAGUUGCCUGAAUCAUUUAUGAAUUAUUUGGGCCUUUUUGGGA
rnacentral:misc_RNA from 1 species